UGUAUUUUUAAUUUCUUUCAAU
ensembl:ncRNA